rnacentral:rRNA from 1 species
CCUACGGGCGGCAGCAGUGGGGAAUAUUGCACAAUGGGCGCAAGCCUGAUGCAGCCAUGCCGCGUGUGUGAAGAAGGCCUUCGGGUUGUAAAGCACUUUCAGCGGGGAGGAAGGCGUUAAGGUUAAUAACCUUGUCGAUUGACGUUACCCGCAGAAGAAGCACCGGCUAACUCCGUGCCAGCAGCCGCGGUAAUACGGAGGGUGCAAGCGUUAAUCGGAAUUACUGGGCGUAAAGCGCACGCAGGCGGUCUGUCAAGUCGGAUGUGAAAUCCCCGGGCUCAACCUGGGAACUGCAUUCGAAACUGGCAGGCUAGAGUCUUGUAGAGGGGGGUAGAAUUCCAGGUGUAGCGGUGAAAUGCGUAGAGAGCUGGAGGAAUACCGGUGGCGAAGGCGGCCCCCUGGGCAAAGACUGACGCUCAGGUGCGAAAGCGUGGGGAGCAAACAGGAUUAGAUACCCCUGUAGUC